AUACGUAGGGUGCGAGCGUUGUCCGGAAUUAUUGGGCGUAAAGAGCUCGUAGGCGGCUUGUCGCGUCGGAUGUGAGAGCCCGGGGCUUAACUCCGGGUCUGCAUUCGAUACGGGCAGGCUAGAGUUCGGUAGGGGAGAUCGGAAUUCCUGGUGUAGCGGUGAAAUGCGCAGAUAUCAGGAGGAACACCGGUGGCGAAGGCGGAUCUCUGGGCCGAUACUGACGCUGAGGAGCGAAAGCGUGGGGAGCAAACAGG
rnacentral:rRNA from 1 species